rnacentral:rRNA from 1 species
GACGAACGCUGGCGGCGUGCUUAACACAUGCAAGUCGAACGGAAAGGCCCUGCUUUUGUGGGGUGCUCGAGUGGCGAACGGGUGAGUAACACGUGAGUAACCUGCCCUUGACUUUGGGAUAACUUCAGGAAACUGGGGCUAAUACCGGAUAGGAGCUCCUGCUGCAUGGUGGGGGUUGGAAAGUUUCGGCGGUUGGGGAUGGACUCGCGGCUUAUCGGCCUGUUUGGGGGGUAGUGGCUUACCAAGGUUUUGACGGGUAGCCGGCCUGGGAGGGUGACCGGCCACCUUGGGCCUGCGAUACGGCCCAGACUCCUACGGGAGGCAGCAGUGGGGAAUAUUGCGCAAUGGGCGGACGCCUGAUGCAGCGACGCCGCGUGCGUGAUGACGGCCUUCGGGUUGUAAACCGCUUUCGCCUGUGACGAAGCGUGAGUGACGGUAAUGGGUAAAGAAGCACCGGCUAACUACGUG